rnacentral:lncRNA from 1 species
UUUUUUUCCUUUUCUUUCUUCAUUCCUUCUAGUAGAAGAGGGAUGCGGAAGAUUUUCUCAUAGAAUUAGUUUAGAAAGUAAUAAAAAGAGGUAAUAAUUAUGUUCCUAAACUGGCUGGAACCAAAAUAUGCGGUGGUAGAACAGUUGCAUCUAGUGGAGUCAUUUGUCUUGAAACAAGGAACGUCUACCAUCCACCAAAUGUCCCAUUGACCUUCUACUGGGCUGGUAGAACAGGACAGAAAACACAUUAUCUGAGUUUCCUGUAUCCGAGGAAGCUGGAAGUUUUCUACCCACAAAGAGAUUCUGAAGUAAUGGGAGGCAGACUUCAUCCACCUAGUUUGCACUGGAAAUCUGCAGGCUGA